GACAGGAAUUUCCUUCUUCCUUUCCUACUUCCCCCUCAACCAAGAGUUGGGAGAGUGGGAAGAAGGCGCCAAGUGCAAGCUGCUGGCGCUUGCAGCCCCCAGAGGCCUGAGAUCCGACCACAGGACCGCCCUGCCUGGACCACGGACCUGGUCGGCCUCCUGUUGAGGCGAGGUUGUGGAUGUCCCCGGACCCUAGUGCUCCCUGCUUCGGAUGAUGUAGGGCAGCAUCCACCUGAACGCACAUCACUACCAAGGCCAAGGUUUUGGAAGGAAGCCCUUCUCCUCUCCCAUCUCAAUAUUAGACCAUGGGACCCUGGGCCACGGGGCUCAGGCCGCCGACCCUGGAGCCCUGACCAGUGAACACAGCUGCCUGUCCUUUACCCUUGUGUCCAUCCAGGAGCGGCCUUCUGCCAGGGACCUGGUCGGCCUGCCUGUUGAGGCGAGGUUGUGGAUGUCCCCGGACCCUAGUGGUCCCUGCUUCGGAUGAUGUAGGGCAGCAUCCACCUGAACGCACAUCACUACCAAGGCCAAGGUUUUGGAAGGAAGCCCUUCUCCUCUCUGAUCUCAAUAUUAGACCAUGGGACCAUGGGCCACGGGGCUCUGGCCGCCGACCCUGGGGCCCUGACCAGUGAACACAGCUGCCUGUCCUUUACCCUUGUGUCCAUCCAGGAGCGGCGUUCUGCCAGGUUCUAUGUUGCCUGUCCUCAGUCCACUUGAAUCUGUUGAGAGAGCUGAGUCCUGUGUGUGCCUAGGCCCUGCCACAGGGACCUGGUCGGCCUGCCUGUUGAGGCGAGGUUGUGGAUGUCCCCGGACCCUAGUGCUCCCUGCUUCGGAUGAUGUAGGGCAGAUCCAUCUGAAUGCACUUCACCACGGAGGCCAAGGUUUUGGAAGGAAGCCCUUCUCCUCUCCCAUCUCAAGAUUAGACCAUGGGACGCUAGAAUAGGGGACUCAGGCUGCCGACCCUGGAGUCCUGACCAGUAUACACAGUUGUCUGCCCUUAUCCCUUGUGUCCACCUGGGAGCGGCCUUCUGCCAGGUGGGAACCCGGUGCUUGACCUAGGGUCCCAUUGAGUUGGGUGGUCUCCUCCCUUGUUUUCACACCUCCCUGUGUGCUCUCGGUUGUGGGACACCACCACCCCACCUCUCUAGCAUGUCUGGGGUUGCCCCAGCCAGCAGGGUGUCAACAGGUGUGAUCCACCUGCAGGAGAGAAUGAAAGGGAAAUGAAAGGGAUGGGGGAGACACGAAAGAAGACAACAAGACAGUGUGUUCUGAUCAAGCUGUAAGUAUUAUUCUCCUCAGCAAGGCUUAUAUAGCAUGGGAGAGGGAGGGGGCAGGUAGGAGGGAAGGGGUGCACGAUGUGCCAUUCGUGCAGGUGAAGGGGGACAUGCAAGUCGUGAGGGUGUUGUGCUAGGUGGUAAGGUCACUGGUCAGGGCCCAUUGUUCUGUUGCUAUGCUACCUGACCUGCCUGAGCUGUUCUUUAUCUUUGGGGGCAUCUGGUUGAGGGCAGGGGCUUGUUCUCUGGCCCAGCUAGUACUUUUCCAUGGUCCAUGUUUGGUCGCUGAUAUCUCCCCCUUCUCUGUGUAUAGCAAAACAAAGAAAGGAGGCCCAAAUGUUUUUGCCGUGACAGGAGAGGGGUGACAGAGGCUCUCUCCCUGAUAAGUUCCAUUGUUAACUGUCAGUCCAUGUAGGCAUCCCCACGUGCCCUGACGGAUGCUGGAACGAUGCAGUUUUUUACAGGGGGCGGGUUUGAAUUCGGGAGGAAAGAGUAUAGGGUCUGCAUAACCGCCAUGCAAUAAAGCAUGUCAUCCAAGGCACCCAAGAUGGUGGAGCACUUUGGUCUCCCUGCCUUCUGCAUUCCCAGCUGCACCCUCAAUCCCCUAUGCAGUGGGCUCCAGCUCCCAGGCACAGGUGCAUCCUCCCCUGGGCAGAGGGGCCUGUGCUGAUAUGGAGUCUUUAUCUGGUUCAUCGAGACCACGAUCAUGGAGAUCGAGGCGAUGGGAAUGAACCUGAAUUUGUUUUGCCUGAAGUUCGGCCAGCUGACCGCGCACAAAUCGAGUUAGUCAAGAGAAGUUUCAAGGGCCGAAUGUCAAGAGAAGAAUGAGGCCAACCAAGGGUCCCAGAAGGGAAGGCAGGAGGGUGGUUGGCCAGGGAGAUGCAGAGAACCAAUUUUGGAACCAGCCUAGCUCUUGAUCUCUUUCUUUUCUGCGCUUCUCUAAGCCUUCCCGGACCUUGGCCAUGCUAUCCCUUGCUACUCCUGUAUGAUCAGUAUAAAAUCAGCACUCUUCCUUAAGAGCGGCACACAGAGACCUCCUUGCUGUAAAAAGAGGAGGUUGAGCCCUCGGCGGUUUUGGAGGACCACCUCUGAAAGGGAGGUGAGGGAGGAUUCAAGGGCGGAAAUGCCUCGCUCAAGCUGCCCUAUAUCUUCAUCUAUGGAAAUUCUAAGCUCUGAAUAAUGUUGAUUAGAUAAAACCAGGGAAGCUAUGCCAGUACCGGCCCCUGCAGCCCCGGCCCCCAGGAGGACAGCCAGAGUGACUGCAGUCACGGGUUGGGGCAUCCUACGCUUUCCUCCCUCCAAUAAAUUUUGCAAUUGUGGGCAGUCUGACCCCACCCCCAGAGAAGAAAAAGAAAAUUUGUAAGUGGGAGAUAUAAACUGUAGUCAGGUUGUAUUCCUCCCAGUCCUUCUUGACUUGUGGGCAUUGGCAAAUGUUGAUCACGUGCCAUCACUGCCGGCAUGAUCUCCUGAAGCUUAUGAGAACCUUCUUAAUAGACAAAAUCUUAGACAUGUUAGCAAUGUAACAGUGGUGAACUUUAUCAGAGCAAAAUUAUGAGUCCUUGGAGCCUCAACAAAACAUCAGGAUAGCCAGAGAAUGAAAUCUGAAAUGUGUCAUUUACAUAUCUCCCAAGUCUCAUAUAUAUUUUGACAAAAAUUAAUAAAAUACAUUUAGAACAGAAUUAUUAGUUCUAAUCAUCUUUCUAUAAGUUUUGAUGAACAGUUCAUCAAAAGGAUCUGGAAUUGUAUCAAUUUAUUCAUAUUCAAGGCUCAGUAUUUAAGAAUCUAGAGGUAAAUAACAGCCUGUAUUUAGACUGGCAGCUUUAGAACGCCUUUGUCCUGCAGCUGCCAAUAUAUGGUGUGACCAGGCGAUCCAGGAUUCAUAAAGGCGGGUCAAUGUCCUAUAAAGACAUGUAUCUUCCUCCUGACAUUAUGAAAACAGCAGGACCUUGUUAAAUACCAGUGAGGAGAUCAUAGAGGCUUAGGUGUAACUUUGUGGCUUGACCUGGUGGUGAUGAGGAAUACCUGUAGUGAGGGAUAUGAAAAAUAAGUACCAAUUCUUAAGAACUCUUGAAGUAUAUGUAAGGCUGUUGUCUAUAUAUGGGCUCAAGGCAUUCCUAAAAUUAAAAAGCAGUGAAAGAAAUGGUGUAUAACUUCUUAUUUCAUAACCAUAAAUCAUAAGGACGUAAGCCUCGUGGGUGAUCUUCUAUAGGGAGAGAAUUUAUAAUUGUUGGACAGACAUAUGAAAAGGUGCCAGUAUGUCCUGUAGAGCUAUCUGCCAUUCUAUAGACUCACAAGUUUCAUAGUUUGAUAUGAAUAUAAUAUCAUCUGUACAAUAAAUGUAUUGUAAGAUAUAUGUAUAUACAUAUACAUGUAUACAAACAUAUAGGUUGGGGGACUGUGAGGAAGCUAUAAUUGACAGUUCUGAUAGUUAAUCUGCAUAUAUAAUGAGGAACUUUGUUCAAUGAAUGAGUCCUGGAUAGACAGAACUCGCAUUUUCUGCUCUGUAUGUCAACUUUGGCCUCCAUCAUGGUAGGGUGAGUAGGCAAAUUAAAAGCUAAAUCCUGACAAUCUUUAGGUUGAGGAGGAUGGUAAAGAAACAAUCUUGUAUAUCUAUGACGAUUUUUUUUUGAUUUUUGGGGAUGGCCCUGGGAGAUGGCAAGACAAGCUGUGAGACUUUCCUUGGCUUUAAUAAAUUUUAUUUAAUUUUUAAAGGAUCUGUAACAGUUUAUAAGCCUGAUUUUCCUAAAUAAAAAGAUAUUGGGGUGAUUUAAGGGCUGGUGGGGGACUUCAUAUGCCCAAUAUUUAAGUUUUUCCUCCACCAGACAGGUAGCAAUUAUAAUUUUUUCAGCAUUUAAAAGCCAUUGUUUGAUCCAGAUAGGAGCGUUAGAUUUUCCUGACCUUCUGGCUACAUUAUUAGCUUGACCUAGGCCUGUAAGAGACGAAGAAGUAAUAAUCGUCUUAAGUACUUGGCCAAUCUUUUUCAGAAAUAUAAGAAACAGCUAUGUUUAUGUCUAGCAAGCCAAUUAUCCCUGUAUUUUAAGUGUUUAGUUGUUUGGAAUAUUUAAUUUCCUGAACCCAGAAGGCCAUAUAGCUAGAAUCUACACCAGCAGCUCCCUUAGGCUCUGCCUUGUGUGAAUCUGAAUUGUACAAUGAUCUUAAUCUCUCCAGUAAAGACAGAAUCGUACAUCCCUAGGGCAACCUUGUACAGCCGAGGAGCUACGGCAUAUAAUUAGCCCCAGUGUCCCUUCUGAGGCGGUCCAUAGACUUUUGCAUUAAGGUAUACAUAAGUUUAUUUUUAAAGCCUAUAUAUCUAUCUCAGACCUCAAUAUCUAUCCAUAGAUCUAACUUAGGCAUACAUCCUCAGUAUCUCUGGGUUAUUUACUGAGAUUUAUGGAUCAUUUAUAACAUAUCUAGAUGUUCAUAUGUUAUAUUUCUCUGUUCCAAUGACUUGCAUUACACAUACAAUAAACUAUUUCUUAAUGUUCUUAAACAUUCUUUAUAUCUAAUCAUUCAUAUCCUUAUAAAAUCUUUACUUACAUCUGAAAGCAUUUUUGUAUUUAAUUCAUCAGGAGAUAUAGGUGAUUGAUUACUGAGAGCAGCCAAUGUGGUGAAUUCCUUUAAACAAAGGAACAGUCAAAGUUUAUUUUGAAAUCUGUUUGGCAAGAAUUUGGAUAGCAAGGCAAAUUACCUUUUAGGCCUGGUAAAUGGGAAUAUAAUCCAAAUGAUCUCAAAGCAUAGUUUGGACAAAAUCCUGGCAAUAAGGGGUAUGGCAGUUUUGUCCAAAACUUAAACAUUUUAAAUGCUAGGGGGCUAAGUAAUGAAUUGAUUAUAUGAAAUUUAGCAUACUUAGCAUGUAUAUAAAUAUGAUUUUGUAUACAUCAGAGAAUUUGAUCAUAAAAUGAUCAAGCUUUAAUUUGCAUCCUAAUAAUUAUCUCUAAUAACUUAUAGCUUAAGUACAACUUAUCCUUAACAGUUUACAGUUUAGGUUGGCGAAUCAGUCAAUAAGUUUUACUUCUUAAUUAUCUUUAACUAAAGUAAACUUAUUUACCAACUUAUAAGUUAGUUGUCUUUGUAAACUUAGAACUUAGGUUUUAUAUUAAAACAGUGUAGCUAGAGUUUUCCUGCCUGGCCCACAAUCAGGACAAAUCUCUCUCACCUGCCAGUCCCACAGCCGCUCAGACCCGACCAAGUAAACACAGAGACUUAUAUUGGUUACAAACUGUAUGGCCGUGGCAGGCUUCUUGCUAACUGUUCUUACAGCUUAAAUUAAUCCUUUUUUUUUUUUUGCUUUUUCGAGACAGGGUUUCUCUGUGUAGCUUUGCGCCUUUCCUGGAACUCGCUUUGGAGACCAGGCUGGCCUCGAACUCACAGAGAUCCUCCUGGCUCUGCCUCCCGAGUGCUGGGAUUAAAGGCGUGCCCCACCACCGCCCGGCAAAUUAAUCCAUUUCUAUAAAGCUAUACCUUGCCACGUGGCUCGUGGCUUACCGGCAUCUUCACAUGCUGUUUGUCAUCCUGGUGGCUGGCAGUGUCUCUGACUCAGCCUUCCACUUCCCAGCUUUAUUCUCCUCCUUGUCCCGCCUAUACUUCCUGCCUAGCCACUGGCCAAUCAGUGUUUUAUUUAUUGACCAAUCAGAGCAACACAUUUGCCAUACAGAACAUCCCACAGCAAAACAGAGGAGGAUUUUCUUUUCUUCUCUCUCUCUCUCUCUCUCUCUCUCUCUCUCUCUCUCUCUCUCUCUCUCUCUCUCUCUCUCUCUCUUUUUGUAGAAGCUGCAGCCGGUUUGUCCAGUCUGUAUCAAGCCAGACAGCCACCGGGAAUGGCAAGGUGAGGAGAAGGGCGGAAGUGAGCUGAGAUGCAGAUAGCAGAUAGUUAGGUUCAGAGAGAAGAAGGCAGAUGUUUAGGAUUCCAACCCCCAAACGUCUUUGGGGGUCAGAUGAAUCCAUAUAGGUUGUAGCAGGGCGUCCCCUAAACAGGACUUGUUUUUUUGAAAUGGGUCAACUGAAGUUCUUGUACUUGGCCAAGAUUUUUGUAAAUUACCAAGAACUUAAAAGUCAACCCAAAAAGAGGAAAGAGAGAGAAAAGGACACUUUUUUAGGAGAGCUGGGAGUUGCCAUUAGUUUUUAAAUCAGCACUGGCUGUGAGGCUUGUGUUAAUUUAAAUGAAGGCUGCUGGAGCAGAGCUCCUUGUUAGCUGCAGGGCAAAUUUAGGGCUCAAGUUAGCCCUUAGAUUCCAAUAGUUUUAGCAAAAAAGACUGUCUGUAGCAGGACGCUGCUGCUACUAUGGAGAACAUAGGGAACUUCAUUAGCUCUAGUUUACACUCUCAGGAGGUCUGGUAGUGUGAUAAUAUUGUGUUACCUCUUUGUAAGACCCUGAAUGAAGUAAGGGCAGGUUUCUCCCUAAAAGGGAGGGGUUAGAAUCUCUGCCGCUUAUCAUAGUCUGACGGUAAAUGAAUUUCAUAAGGUUGGCAGCUUUUAGGGGUCUCUUAAAUCUUUUUUUUAUAAACCUUUAGGAUAUCAUUAACAUCAAUCGUCCCUUCUUGGGGAAACCAGGGACAACAGUCGUCUAAGUGACUAAAGAAUUUGUUGAGGUCUUUUUUUUGCGAACCCUUAUCCCUCGUGUCUUGAGGGCCUCUUUAAUGCCCUUAAGGAAAAGGUCAUGGGAAGAACUUCCCCAUCCCAUGGUUAAGCCUAAGUUUAGACUAACCUCGUCCUUCCUGCUCUCCUCCGGAUCGUCAAGAAAGGGCGUCGAGUCGGGCGGUCUCAACGGACGAUCAGCAAAAAUAUCUCCACCAGAUGUCUGGACUUUCCUGGAGAAGGACGUUCAACUCCCAACGAGGUGAGGGUCGAGCCACCACGUUGGGCGCCAGUUGCCCUGGCCAGCGGGGUGUCAACGGGGGCGACCCACCUGCGGGAGAGAAUGAAAGGGAAAUGAAAGGGAUGGGGGAGACAUGAAAGAAGACAGCAAGACAGUGUGUUCUGAUCAAGCUGCAAAUUUUAUUCUUCUCAGCAAGGCUUAUAUAGCAUGGGAGGGGGAGGGGGCAGGAAGGAGGGAAGGGGUGCACGAUGUGCCAUUCGUGCAGGUGAAGGGGGACGUGCAAGUCGUGAGGGUGUUGUGCUAGGUGGUAAGGUCACUGGUCAGGGCCCAUUGUUCUUUGCUAUGCUACCUGACCUGCCUGACCUGUUCUUUAUCUUUGGGGUCAUCUGGUUUAGGGCAAGGGCUUGUUCUCUGGCCUAGCUAGUACUUUUCCAUGGUCCAUGUUUGGUCUCUGACACAGGGUCAUCCUGGGAGGCCCCUCUUGGCUGGCCACCUUGACCUGGAAGCUUGGGUCAGCAUACCUAAGGCCAUUCUGGCAGCUGUACUGGUCACCCUGGUGGAUGGAGUCUUGUAUACUGCUGCUGGAUCUCUGAAGCAUGCUGUGUGUGUGUGUGUGUGUGUGUGUGUGUGUGUGUGUGUGUGUGUGUGUCUGUGUGUGUGUGUGUGUGUGUGUCUGUGUUUGUAUGUGUGUGUGUAUCUGUGUGUGUGUGCACACAUGUGAAGGACCUCAUGUGGAGGUUCAAGGACAACUUUCCAGAGUCAGUUCUUUCCUUGCACCAUGGGACUUGGCGCUUACACUAUGGUUGUUGGGCUAGCAUAGCAAACUCCUUUACUUGCUAAGCUUUUUGUUGCCUUGUAUUUCUUCAUUUUUGUCAGUGUUAUGCUUUGUAGGGGUCAGGGGUUUUCAAAAGGGGACAUACAGGUCAGUGAUCAUUUCUGAAUUUAGUAAUAUUUUAAACGUCCAUCCCAAAGGUAAAUAACUUAGCUUCCGUGGUGUAGGAGACAGUUAAAAAUACGUAUGGAAUAAAAGACUCCAAUUUUCAGUCAAGGGUCAAGUCUCCUUUAGACUAAUUUUUAUGCAGUGUUAUUCUAAGUAACGUUUCCUCUGGGAGCAUGUUAGAAUUCUCUACUGCAGACUUACCCAGGAGUUUACAUUUGAACAUCAUUCUUCAGGGAUUCAUGUACAUACUCAGUAUUAAAGUACUGAUAUCUAAUUGUUAUAGAAUGAUAGUUGCUGAGGUCAUUUAAUGGAGAGGAGGCGUACCAUAAUUGUGACUUUCAUUGUGGCUGAUCAUCUCUUAAAGGAGAAAAACUGCUAAACCUGACUUGUAAACCCAAAUACCAUUAUUUAGAAUAAUUGUUACUGGUGAUAGAAGGCACCAUAAGUUAGUAUAAAUUCUUUUCGUUUUUGUUUAUACAGAAAAUAUUUAUACAAAGAUCAAGAUCGUUAUCCAUAAAAAGUUCACAUUUUAAGUGUAAGUUGAUCAUUAGAUCGUUUCCUAGGAUCCAUGUAAGGGUGAUGGGAAGUUUGGGGAAGAGUUUCUGUGUAAAAACCACAAGCUUAGGGCUGGUGGUGGGACUUGAGGGCCUAUGAGGUUAGGGGGCUCUGGGAACUGCAGAGAGUAGGAAGAGAAUGAAUGUGAGGUCCAAGGGAGCUGAUGGUUGGGAUGCUUGGCCCAUUGCAACUGGGCAACUUACUCCAUGAACUGGCCAAGAACGAUGGUCCUCCUAAACCUUACCUAAGCUGGUGUAUAAGGAAAAGACUUCAUACAGAGAGGUAAAGAGGAGCCAGGGAGUCUAGGGAUGACUUUGUCCUGCCACUAAAAGGUACAGGUGGGAGAAUAAUAGACUUCUGCCUCCAUCCAUAGAGCAGUAAUAGACAAUGCCUGCCAAGGCUGGGCGUUAGGCUCCUAGAACAGAGAGUUCUACAAUGCUUCCUAAGGGGACUACCUUUAUUCUGAAGCAAGAAUGAGAAGACGCAAAUGCAAGGACCCUAUUAAAAUGUAGAUCUUGCUGGUAAGCAAUCAAGAGAAGAGUAGCCACAAGAGUGCUGGUAGCAAGUGAAAACAAUGGAUAGUUCCUCCUUACAAACAAGAGCACCAAGCAGCUGAGAAAACCCCUCUUGAUGUUAGGAGAAACCCUCAAAGACCGUCCCUGCCUUAGAAAUCAUCUGAUGGAAUUUCACUCUGGGGCUCCUGGUUUCAGAGUCAGCACUCAGGCCAUGACAGAGAAGACUAGGUAGAACGGUAUGGUGGGAGAAGAUGUGACAGACGUGUUCCGGUCUUAUCAUAUCAGAAAGCAGAAAGGGGACCAGAAUCUGCGUAGGCUCUGUCCUUCAAAACCCACCCCUAGUGAUCCAUAUCCACCAGCUGGGAGACCCUGUCUUCCAAAUAUUCCCUGGCCUCCCAAAAUAGCAGUACUAUAUGGGAACCAAGUUUUUAAACAUAUGAGCCUGUCGGAAGCAACUUACAUCCAAGUCACAGCAUUCACAUUUAUUUAUAUCAGUGUGGAUGCAUACAUGUUUAUUCUAUAAUUUGUGUUAUCAUUCAAUAUGUCUGUGUUCAUUUUAUUGUGUAUAUUGCUGCAAGUUGAUAGAGACCUUUUUUUCUUCCUUUGGCAUACCUCCAUCCUUGUAGGUGUGUGUGUUGGGGGAUCAAUACUUCGGAGAAUGGUAUGUCAAUGUUUGGCAUGGUAAGGGGUUGUCACACCAUUUCUAAAGUGGCAUUCUUAUUUUGCAUCUCUAUUAGAAAUGGAUGUGUGUCCCUGUUGCUCUGUGUCUUAACAAGCAACUGAUACAAUUUUUUAAAAAAGAUGACCAUUUCUUUUCAUUUUUGUGUCCUAGUACUGGAAUUCAAGACCAGACGCUUGUAUAUGCAAGAUAUACUGUCUGAGUUUUGGUUUUGUUUGUCAAGUUGGAAAGAAGGAACAUUUGUUUAAGAACUGACUUUAUUAGAUAGCCUUUGGGCAUGUGUGUGGGACAUCUUGACUGCUGAUUGAUAGAGGAAAGGUCUAGCCCACUGUGAGUGGUCCCUUGCCUAGGUAGGUGGCCAUAGGUUAUAUAAGAAAGGUAGCAUAGUAAGGCAGAGCAGAAGCCAGUAAGCAACAUUCAUUCAUGAUCUCUGCUUCAGAUUCUGCCUCCAGAUUUCUGUCCUCAAAUUCCUGCCUUGACUUCCCUCCACAGUGGACUGUCACCUGUAAGCCAAAGAAACCCUUUCCCAGAAUUGUUUUGGUCUGUGCUUUGUCACAGCAGUAGAGAAACAAGCUACCACACUGGGAACAGUUUUGCCACUGAUCUCCAUGCCCUGCAUUGGCAUUUUGUUUUCUUGUUAUACAUUUUAUUCUUUAAGAGAAUAUUUAAAUUUAUAUUUUGAUCAUGAUUUCCCCAACCCACAAGUCCUUCCAAAUCCUCUGCCCUUCCCUACCCAUCCAAAUUCAAGUUCUUUCUCCAAACAAACAAACAAACAAAUAAAUAAAUAAACAAAAACCAAUUCUUAGAAAGUAUGUAGUUAUAGUUGGUUUCAAUUUUAUGGCUUUAUUUUGAGUAGAUAUUAAUUUUAGAUUGCCACUUUUUCUAACAUUUAUGCUGUAUUUUAUCAUCAUUAUUUCCACAAGUAUCUUAUUUUUAAACUUUUGUUUCAGUAGAGCUAAAGCUUACCAGAAAUUUGCUCUUAUUUAUAAAUCCCUUUAAUUUGUUAAAUGAAUCCUCUUGACGUACUUUAAGAAGGAAUUACUUUUUAAUGAGAGACAGAAAGUGAGUGGAUCAGGAUGGGAGGAAGAUUGGGAGAAAAAUGGGAGAAGUAGAGGGAGGGGAAAUCUUAAUCAGGAUAUAUUAUAUGAAAAAAAUGGUUUCAAUAAAAUAAAGGAAGGAAAAAAAGAAAAAAAAGACAACACACACAGAUGGGCUGAAACACUGAAGAGGCAAUGUUCCUAAAAUGAAUCCUAAUCACUUUAACGUCUGUCUCCAGUACUGUAUGGAUUCUUAAAAAUGGAUUGUAGUUGUAAGUUGGCCUUUCCCAGUGGAUCCUUCGGCAUUUAACUACUUCAGAAAAGAAAACAGAGGUACCUGUCUGAAACUGAAGGUCCCUUAGGAAGCUUGAGUUCAAAGUGAUUGCUACUGUGAUGGCGCUGACAUAUGGAACUGCAGAUAGGGAAACUUCCCUCGCUCCUCCCUUCCUGCUCUUGCCCCCUCACCUGGCCCUUCUGUCCUCAUGAUGUAUCCCAGAAUGUUACAGAGCAGCAAGGCAGCCCUACAGCAGCACCGGAUUGGGAGGUCAAGUCUCCUAUCCUCCAAGUCUAUGUGUCAAAUAAGCUUCUGCUCAAGUAGGUUUCUGUGUGUCUGUUUGUUCUUUGGGGACGCUUUCCCCUUUGUUUGUUGGUCCUAUUCUGAUGUGUUAGUUGUUGUUUUAGUUUAUCUUAUUAUCCCUUAGACGUGUUUGUUUUCUAAUGAGAGACAAGAAGGGGGUGGAUUGGAUGAGAGAGAGGUGGGAAGAAACUGGGAGGAUUAUGUAGACGAAUUUCUAAGUGGUCUUAUUAAAUAAAGAACAUGGAGCCAAAUACAGGGGUGAAAGCCUUAGAGAUCAGGUAAAUAGUGAGAGUCACCAACCACCUUACCUCACCAGAUCUGUAGCUUCCAAAAUGCCAUGACUUCCUGUCUACCCAAGCUUUUAUUGCCUUGCUGUUCUGCCCUCUCAUUGACUCAGCCCAGCUAGCUCACUUCCUUGUUACUGCCUAUCUGUACAGACCUCCAGGGUCUCUAUGGUUGGUACUGGGAUUAAAGACCUGUGCCACCACACUUGGCUCUGUUCCCUAGCGUGACCUUGAACACACAGAGACCCUGCCUGCCAAGUGAUCAGGUUAAGGGCCUGUGCUACCACUGCCUGAUUUUUGUGUUUUCUUAAAAUGGCUUGUUAUUUCCUGUGAUCUCCAGGCAAACUUUAUUUGUUAGCAUACAAAAAAAAAAUCACCACUUUUCAGCACAAAUAAAAUAUCACUACAGAAUUAGAGGGAGGAGAAACCUUAAUCAGGAUAUAUUAUGUGAGAAAAAGAUCCAAUUUCAAUAAAUGGGAAAUAUAUACAUAUAUUUAUGGGGAAAAAGAAGGAUAUUCUUUGGAUUCAUGUAUAACUAAAAAUAUUUGACUUUCUGUUUAAGCAACACUUGCAACAUAUUGUCUUUUAAAGAUUGCCUUGUUCAUUAAUGAUUAGUGCUUCUAGACGAAGAUUUGAGGUCAAUAUGAUCUCUUUCUAAGUGUAUGAUUUUGGUCGGUUUCAACAUCUAUCCUUUUGUGCCUUGUAAGUCAAUACAUUUAUUAUUCAGUAUUAUUUUUCAUAGCGUGCCAUGUGUUUCUUGCUUUCCUUCUCUUUAGAAAUUCUCUCUUCACUAUUUCAUAAUUUCAGCUACCCUCUGAUAUUUAUUAAACUUAGGAAGUCUUCACUAGAUGUGUUGCAUACUCUAGACUUGUUAUGGACAAGGCGAAGAUAGCAAUCUAUUUGCCCUUUUGUCUAUGCUUGUUCUCUGGAGCCAGAGAUAUCUAUAUAUCUUCUCUUGUUGCAGGAUAUUCGAUCACACU